rnacentral:rRNA from 1 species
AUGCGUUGCCCUUAUGAAACUUGUAUGAAUAUAAGUCAGCAGAGUGUUAGUCAAGUUCGAACCCAUUUGUUAUUGUAUGGUAUACAAACUUUGUACACAAAAUGGGUAUUCCAUGGAGAACAAGUUAGCAAUGAUGAAGACCAAGUUGAUGAGUCACUUGAAGAUGAGGAAGAUGUUGAUGAUUUUGAUGGAUUUGAUAUGGUCCAAGAUCUGCUAGGAGAUAUCCAUAGAGCCACGGUUGGGGUUGACGAGCAAGAUAACCAUAAUCCUGCUGGAGGUAGCAUUCUGGAGCCCAAUGAGUCAUCAACCAGAUUUGACGGCUUGCUCAGAAGUGCACAACGUGAGCUGUACCCGGGCUGCAAAGGUCACUCGGUGCUAUCCUUUGUUUUAAAGCUGGUACACCUCAAAGAUCUUAACCAUUGGAGCAACAAAUCUUUUGACAUGUUACUCAAGCUUCAGAAGGAGGCUUUGCCAGCCGGUAACUCGCUUCCAGCCACGUACUACAAAGCAAAGAAGAUGCUGAGAGAUCUAGGGCUAGGUUAUGAAAGUAUUGAUGCUUGCAAAAAUGAUUGUGUUCUAUUCUGGAAGGAGCAUGAGGACAAGGACGAGUGCCCAGUUUGCAAGGAAUCGAGGUGGAAGACACAAAAGGACAAGGGGAAGCGAGUACCUCAGAAAGUGUUGCGCUACUUUCCCUUAAUCCCUAGAUUACAACGGCCGUUCAUGAACAAGGAAAUAGCUUCAGAUUUGCGUUAUCAUAGGGAUAAGAGAGUUGUCGAACCAAAUGUGUUGAGGGGUCCUCCGGAUGGCGAUGCUUGGAAACAUAUGGAUAAGAAAUAUCCCUGGCUGGAUGAAGACCCUCGCCAUUUGCGGCUCGGGGUUGGCACCGAUGGUUGCAAUCCAUUUGGAAUUAUGAGUAGCUCAUAUAGUGUGUGGCCUGUCAUUGUAGUUGUGUAUAACUUGCCUCCAUGGAGAAGCAUGAAAGAGCCCUUCCUGCUCAUGACAUUAUUGAUCCCUGGGAAGAAGUCACCAGGAAGGGACAUUGAUGUGUAUUUGAGGCCACUGGUAGAAGAACUAAAGCAAUUAUUUAAUCCAGGAGUUGUUACUUUCGACGCUGUUGAAGGAGGUACUUUCAAUAUGCGUGCAGUAUUGCUAUGGACUAUUCACGACCUUCCAGCACUAGCUUCAGUAUUUGGGUAUUCUACAAUGGGCUACAAGGCAUGCCCUGUUUGCCUAGAUGGAACCUAUUCGCAACCACUUCGAAGCAAAAUUGGUUUCUUAGGUCAUAGGAGGUACUUGCCUAUUCACCAUAGGUGGCGCAAAAGUAAGGCCUUCAAUGGUAAGAAUGAGAAAGCGUUGCCACCAAAACAACUAUCUGGGAAAGGCAUUUUUGAAUUGCUGCAGAAGUUAGAUAAUCUCCAGGGCUUCAAAUACGGAAAACAUCCUGGAAAUAAGAAAAGGAAGGCAUCUUCAAAGGACAUGCCAGGGAAAAAUUUCACAAAGAUGAGCAUCUUGUUUGANGUGCUCAACAUUCUGGUCCAUGUAUCUACAUGGAAUUGA